ACGGCCAUACCACAUUGAAAACACAGGUUCUCGUCCGAUCACCGAAGUUAAGCAAUGUCGGGUCCGGUCAGUACUUGGGAGGGUGACCACCUGGGAACACAGGGUGUAACUGUAGGCU